CGAGCCCAAAAAUGGCGGCCGCCUCCUCCAUGCUCACCGCCGCGUCGCUCUCCUUCUCCCCGCUCCCAGCUCCGCGCCUCCCGGCCGCCGCCUCCUUCGCUCCGCCGCGCCGCGCGGCAGCCGCACUCGUCGUGCGCGCGGCGGCCGCCUCGUCCAAGUCCCCGGCCGCGGCGGAGACGGCCCCGAAGAAGAAGAGGGCGACCGGCAUCACCCAGCCGAAGCCCGUGUCGCCGGCGCUGCAGGCAAUCGUGGGCGAACCGGUUAUCCCCCGCACCGAGGCCCUCAAGCGCCUCUGGGCCUACAUCAAGGAGCAUAACCUCCAGGUCCCGAGCAAAAACCCUUGCUUACUUACGCUGUAUCUGUACAUUGUGGUUGGUAUAGCUUGUUUGGAUGCAUGCUGAAGAUGUUUAAUAGCGCCAAGCAGGAAUUGAUGUG
rnacentral:lncRNA from 1 species